UACAGAGGUCUCAAGCGUUGUUCGGAUUCAUUGGGCGUAAAGGGUGCGUAGGCGGCGCGGUAAGUCGGGUGUGAAAUCUUGGAGCUUAACUCCGAAACUGCAUUCGAUACUGCCGUGCUUGAGGACUGGAGAGGAGACUGGAAUUUACGGUGUAGCGGUGAAAUGCGUAGAUAUCGUAAGGAAGACCAGUGGCGAAGGCGGGUCUCUGGACAGUUCCUGACGCUGAAGCACGAAGGCCCAGGGGGAGCAAACGGG
rnacentral:rRNA from 1 species